GCCAACUCCUCAACACAGGGGUAGAUGGCAUUGAUAUCAACCUAUCUAAUGCUAAUUUAGGAAAACAAUCCUGAAAGAAAGAGUUCUACAGUGAAAAGAAGACUCUGUGAUUAGUCUGCUGGCCCAGCGGGAAUGGGCAGAGACCAUCUUUGUUUUAUUCACCAAUGGGUAUUCAGAACCUGGAACAGUGCUGGUGUGAGAUCCGAGGUCAGGGGGAUCAGGGUCUGCGUGUGUGUUGCCAGGAGGUGCUGAGAAGUUGGGGGAGUGACGUGUAAUCUUCUCCCCUUCCCUCAGUGGGAAAACAAAGAAGUGACUUUCCUUCCACUGAUUGCCAUAUGGGCCACUUCCUGAACCUGAAAGAGAUGCCGUACCCCGAACACCA
rnacentral:lncRNA from 1 species